GACGAACGCUGGCGGCGUGCUUAACACAUGCAAGUCGAACGGAAAGGCCCUGCUUUUGUGGGGUGCUCGAGUGGCGAACGGGUGAGUAACACGUGAGUAACCUGCCCUUGACUUUGGGAUAACUUCAGGAAACUGGGGCUAAUACCGGAUAGGAGCUCCUGCUGCAUGGUGGGGGUUGGAAAGUUUCGGCGGUUGGGGAUGGACUCGCGGCUUAUCAGCUUGUUGGUGGGGUAGUGGCUUACCAAGGCUUUAACGGGUAGCCGGCCUGAGAGGGUGACCGGCCACAUUGGGACUGAGAUACGGCCCAGACUCCUACGGGAGGCAGCAGUGGGGAAUAUUGCACAAUGGGCGGAAGCCUGAUGCAGCAACGCCGCGUGCGGGAUUACGGCCUUCGGGUUGUAAACCGCUUUCGCCUGUGACGAAGCGUGAGUGACGGUAAUGGGUAAAGAAGCACCGGCUAACUACGU
rnacentral:rRNA from 1 species